GACGAACGCUGGCGGCGUGCUUAACACAUGCAAGUCGAACGGAAAGGCCCUGCUUUUGUGGGGUGCUCGAGUGGCGAACGGGUGAGUAACACGUGAGUAACCUGCCCUUGACUUUGGGAUAACUUCAGGAAACUGGGGCUAAUACCGGAUAGGAGCUCCUGCUGCAUGGUGGGGGUUGGAAAGUUUCGGCGGUUGGGGAUGGACUCGCGGCUUAUCAGCUUGUUGGUGGGGUAGUGGCUUACCAAGGCUUUGACGGGUAGCCGGCCUGAGAGGGUGACCGGCCACAAUGGGACUGAGAUACGGCCCAGACUCCUACGGGAGGCAGCAGUGGGGAAUAUUGCACAAUGGGCGGAAGCCUGAUGCAGCAACGCCGCGUGCGGGAUGACGGCCUUCGGGUUGGAAACCGCUUUCGCCUGUGACGAAGCGUGAGUGACGGUAAUGGGUAAAGAAGCACCGGCUAACUACGUG
rnacentral:rRNA from 1 species